AGUGAACGCUGGCGGUAGGCCUAACACAUGCCAGUCGAACGGCAGCACAGUAAGAGCUUGCUCUUACGGGUGGCGAGUGGCGGACGGGUGAGGAAUACAUCGGAAUCUACUUUUUCGUGGGGGAUAACGUAGGGAAACUUACGCUAAUACCGCAUACGACCUACGGGUGAAAGCAGGGGAUCUUCGGACCUUGCGCGAUUGAAUGAGCCGAUGUCGGAUUAGCUAGUUGGCGGGGUAAAGGCCCACCAAGGCGACGAUCCGUAGCUGGUCUGAGAGGAUGAUCAGCCACACUGGGACUGAGACACGGUCCAGACUCCUACGGGAGGCAGCAGUGGGGAAUAUUGGACAAUGGGCGCAAGCCUGAUCCAGCCAUACCGCGUGGGUGAAGAAGGCCUUCGGGUUGUAAAGCCCUUUUGUUGGGAAAGAAAAGCAGCAGGUUAAUACCCCGCUGUUCCGACGGUACCCAAAGAAUAAGCACCGGCUAACCUCGUG
rnacentral:rRNA from 1 species